GGCGGGGUAGCACAUGGUGUGCGGCUGGGAUCUAUAGCAAAUUGGACACCAACGUGUACCGGAAGGAGCCCGUUCGACUCGGGCCCCCGCCA